CAACAGCAGAAUCUUCUCUUUCUUUGCAGCACUUAGAGGCUGUUUCUUUCCUCGCCUGAGUUUUGCUGUCUUGGAGCACUUUUCUAGGAGAACUUGGGGGCAGGAGCCAUUUGAGCCCUACUGAGCUGGGU